ACAUUGAAAUACAGUUGUGUAGUGGCCAUAAGUAUUCAUUGAAUAUUUUUGGCCACAGUUUGAACAGUAACACUGUUUGCAUAUUUGUCAUUCUUUGUCGUACCACAGUUAGAGAAUCCCUGGCUUAGUAUUACACAAUUCCCUAUCAUGAGGUGAUUCUACAUUAAAAUGCACUGUAACAUGUGGUCCUAAAUAAAGAGUGUGUUCUAGUACAUGUGUAUGAUUGUGCUGCGUUUCUCUCUCUAGGAUUACCUGGUAGUCCAGGGGCCAAAGGCGGACCUGGAGUUAAAGGCGAGCCUGGUCCCAGAGGUCAUGCCGUCAUGUCCGGUGACCCUUGACCUUUGGGAAGCAAAGGAGAGAGAGGACCGAUGGGCGUUCCAGGUGCUCAAGGUUUGAGUGGAACCAAAGGAGACAAGGUGUCCCCCAGGGUUCUGUGCUUGGUCCACUUCUCUUCAUUGUACAUGCUCCCCCUUGGUAACAUCAUCCGCCGCCAUCACCGCCAAUUCCGCUGCUACGCAGAUGUUGUCCAGCUGUGCAUCUCCACAAAAUCUCUCCACCCUGACCGACUGCCUCACUGAAAUCAAAUCAUGGCUGCACUCCAACUUCCUCAAACUCAACUGACAAAUCUGACAUGCUCAUCGUCGGCCCCAAAUCCCUCACUAAAACUGCUCACAACUCUACUCUGUCCCCAUCCACUCACAUCCGCAACCUCGGAGUCAUUCUGGACAAUAACCUCUCUUUUCAACACCACAUCACAAGAACUGCUUUCUUCCACCUCAAAUAUUGCCCGUCUCCGUCCAUCCUUCUCUGCCGCUGAAACCCUGAUCCAUGCCUUCAUCACCUCCAGACUUGACUACUGUAACGGCAUCCUCUACGACUCAUCUUGCAAAAUUCUCAAACUCCAAUACAUUCAAAACUCUGCCGCCCGCCUGCUCACCCACACCCGCUCCCGUGAGCACAUCACCCCAGUCCUCCAGAAACUCCACUGGCUCCCCAGUCCUCACCGGAUCCACUUUAAAUCCUCCUCCUCACCCACAAAGCCCUUCACAACCAGGCCCCCUUCUACCUCACCAACCUGCUUCACCUCCAUACCUCUUCACGCAGCCUCCGCUCCUCUAAUGCCAACCUCCUCUCCCCACCAUGCAGAACCAAGCUUCGGACCUGGGGUGACAGGUUUCUCCAUCGCUGCUCCCACCCUCUGGAACACUCUUCCCAAACCCAUCCGUGACCAGUGUUGGGCUCUCUGUCCCUUCCUCUCUCGCUGGGCAUCCGCUGCGAUUCGCUCUCCAAACAAAAGUUUCAGUUAAGCCGUUCUUCCAGCCUUCUCAUGUCCGCUCGCAGGGACUCUUCCUGCCUCCUGUACUCCGCCAUGUCCAAUUGGUCCUCCAUCGCCUCUUGGUGGACCCGUGUAACGUCCUGUUCAACACAAGAUUUUCCUGAGGGGAAGUAACACAGACAUUCUACACAACAUUGUGUCAUGAGCUUUGACCAAUCAGCUGGGUGGCCAUAGAGUUUGGGGAAAAAGCUGCGACUGUAUCCGUCCAAAUGUCUUAAUGAAGGUUUGUUUCCACAAGUUAGCUAACAUUACUAAGAAGAAUGGCUUCUCCCAGAUCUCUCACAACAGUCCUCCUGGAUGGCAGAGACAUUUUCAAGAAGACUUCCACUCCUGGUAAAGUCAAGGACUUUACAGAGGUGUGUACAUCAAAGCAGAAAUGACCAGAAUUCUGAAUUUCUGCUCAGAUUUUAAUGAAUUCAUUGACACUAAUGUGAACUGCAAAGUUGAAAACAAGGAUACAUUCCAAAUUCUAUUCAAGUCCAUUCAAUCAGAUGUUUGGGAUGUCAGUGCCACUGCUGUCACCACACAGGAAAUGGAAGUACAGCAGAUUUCAACAGCAGCCAGUGAUCUUGAUCCUGACAGUGCGAAGACUCGCCUCCAACAAAAAGAUCCCAGGAUUUUUGCAUUCUACGAGGAGAAUGGGAGAGCGGCCGUGCCAGCGACUUGAGGGUUCCAGGUUCGAUCCCCGCUUCAGCCAUCCUAGUCACUGCCGUCGUGUCAUUGGGCAAGACGCUUUACCCACCUGCUCCCAGUGCCACCCACACUGCUUUAAAUUUAUCCAGUAAGUGAGGACAAAACUUCUCGCCAGAACCUUUGACACUUUACCCAUCACUUAACGUCAACAUGGAGGACGAAAAUGAAGGAUAUGAACACUUCUAUGAUCCAACAUGCCACACUGGCUUUCUGGAAGAUAAGCUGAGGAAUAUCUGCCGAAAACGAAGGGAUGAUCGGCGCCGUUAUUGCAGAAGGGGUGGCUCAUCUGAAGUCACUGUUGGACUUGAAGAAGUUACAGAAAGUGAUGAGUCUGUCCAAGAAUGGAUAACUGUGAUCAUAAGGAUGAAGCCUAGUCCGGAGAACCUUUCUUCCAUCAAGAUGGGUAUGGACAAAACCUACUUCCACCCAAGAUACUGGAUAUCUAAUCAGUCACCUACUCUGGCAGAGAUUGUUGAGAACUACCCUCGUUUCAUUGAUAUACCAUAUCUGAUCGACAGUUUGAGAAGAUGUUUCCAUACAAGACAGACAUCUUUCUAUGCAAAAGGGACCAAAGUUGUUGAAGCUGGCUGCUCUUGAAGGAAAAGAUGAACCACCAGAAGCUGAGAGUGCUGAAUCAAGGUGCUGUAGAGCACUGAAGAUGCUCACACAUGAUCUGCCCCCUACUGUGUCAAGAAGAUCUAAGGGAUGGACAAAAUGCAGCAUCAAAUCAGUGCUGUCCUACAUUUAACAACUCCUACAAACCACUGACCCUGCUCCAGUGAUGCAACCUGGUCUGGUGAGCAUUGGACAUUGCAGCACAACAUCAACACAAUAUGUCAUCGUGGCUGCCAAUGUCAUUCCACUCCAGGAAGAGUGUCUCACCUGCAGUCUGGACAAACUCUUCAAAUUGUAUUGGGCUUGUAACCUUGGCUGGUUGGUAAAGUAGGAGUUGUUGAUUGAAAAAUGGCAGCCUGUGGACAUCAGUGGACCCUGACUUGAACAAGUUGAACAACUUAUUGGGGUGUUAUCAUUUAGUGGUCAAUUGUAUGUAAUAUGUACUUCACUGUGCAAUCUACUAAUAAAGUUUCAAUCAAUGAUUUAAACAUUUUGAGUAUCAGUUGUGUGUCUAUAUUUGGUCAUUGCUACAGACCUGGUUGUGUGCUUUCCUUAAAAUGUGAUCUGGACAACGAACAUAUAUUUGGAGAGACAGUGUAUAUUGUAACCUUUUCUGACCGUGAUGAGGUGUUCAUUUUGUUGAGUUCUCACUGUUAACUAUUUUGAUGAACACCUUCACACUUAUGUGAUUAAAAAGACUAAUUUCAAGUGAUGAAUCUGAAAGAUGCAACUGAUGCUUUGCCACUUGAUGUAUAUGAGCUAGAGAUGUCUAUCGGCCGAAA